GCUCAGGAUGAACGCUAGCGGCAGGCUUAACACAUGCAAGUCGAGGGGUAACAGAGGUAGCUUGCUACUUGCUGACGACCGGCGCACGGGUGCGUAACGCGUAUGAAACCUACCUUAUACAGGGAGAUAGCCCAGAGAAAUUUGGAUUAAUACCCCAUGGUACUGUGAUCUUGCAUGAGAUUAUAGUUAAAGAUUUAUCGGUAUAAGAUGGUCAUGCGUUCUAUUAGUUAGUUGGUAAGGUAACGGCUUACCAAGACCGCGAUAGAUAGGGGCCCUGAGAGGGGGAUCCCCCACACUGGUACUGAGACACGGACCAGACUCCUACGGGAGGCAGCAGUGAGGAAUAUUGGACAAUGGUGGCAACACUGAUCCAGCCAUGCCGCGUGUAGGAAGACUGCCCUAUGGGUUGUAAACUACUUUUAUAGAGGAAGAAACGCAGAUACGUGUAUUUGUUUGACGGUACUCUACGAAUAAGGAUCGGCUAACUCCGUGCCAGCAGCCGCGGUAAUACGGAGGAUCCAAGCGUUAUCCGGAAUCAUUGGGUUUAAAGGGUCCGCAGGCGGUUGUUUAAGUCAGAGGUGAAAGUUUGCAGCUCAACUGUAAAAUUGCCUUUGAUACUGAAUAACUUGAGUUAUAAUGAAGUGGUUAGAAUAUGUAGUGUAGCGGUGAAAUGCAUAGAUAUUACAUAGAAUACCGAUUGCGAAGGCAGAUCACUAAUUAUAUACUGACGCUGAGGGACGAAAGCGUGGGGAGCGAACAGGAUUAGAUACCCUGGUAGUCCACGCCGUAAACGAUGGUUACUAGCUGUUUGGACUUCGGUCUGAGUGGCUAAGCGAAAGUGAUAA
rnacentral:rRNA from 1 species